UGUAUGGCGUGUGUGUGUG
rnacentral:miRNA from 1 species